rnacentral:rRNA from 1 species
ACUACGGGAGGCAGCAGUGGGGAAUAUUGGGCAAUGGGCGCAAGCCUGACCCAGCAACGCCGCGUGAAGGAAGAAGGCUUUCGGGUUGUAAACUUCUUUUCUCAGGGACGAAGCAAGUGACGGUACCUGAGGAAUAAGCCACGGCUAACUACGUGCCAGCAGCCGCGGUAAUACGUAGGUUGCAAGCGUUAUCCGGAUUUACUGGGUGUAAAGGGCGUUUAGGCGGGGAAGCAAGUCAGAUGCGACAACCACGGGCUCAACCUGUGGCCUGCAUUUGAAACUGUGUUUCUUGAGUACUGGAGAGGCAGACGGAAUGUCUAGUGUAGCGGUGAAAUGCGUAGAUAUUAGGAGGAACACCAGUGGCGAAGGCGGUCUGCUGGACAGCAACUGACGCUGAGGCGCGAAAGCGUGGGGAGCAAACAGGAUUAGAUACCCGGGUAGUC